rnacentral:rRNA from 1 species
AGAGUUUGAUCCUGGCUCAGAACGAACGCUGGCGGCGUGCCUAACACAUGCAAGUCGUGCGGGAAAGUGGGGGCAACUCCACGAGUACAGCGGCGCACGGGUGAGUAACACGUAGGUAACCUGCCCCCGAGACUGGGAUAACCUGUCGAAAGACGGGCUAAUACCGGAUAAGACAACGGAAGCUUCGGCUUCAGGUGUAAAAGGUGGCCUCUGCUUGCAAGCUACUACUUGGGGAUGGGCCUGCGCGCCAUUAGCUAGUUGGUGGGGUAACGGCCCACCAAGGCAAAGAUGGCUAGCUGGUCUGAGAGGAUGGCCAGCCACACUGGGACUGAGACACGGCCCAGACUCCUACGGGAGGCAGCAGUGGGGAAUAUUGCGCAAUGGGCGAAAGCCUGACGCAGCGACGCCGCGUGGGUGAUGAAGGCCUUCGGGUCGUAAAGCCCUGUCGGGAGGGACGAAACCUCGGCAACCUAAUACGUUGUCGACCUGACGGUACCUCCUAAGGAAGCACCGGCUAACUCCGUGCCAGCAGCCGCGGUAAUACGGAGGGUGCGAGCGUUGUUCGGAAUCACUGGGCGUAAAGCGCGUGUAGGCGGCUUCCUAAGUCUGGUGUGAAAGCCCGGGGCUUACCCCCGGAAGUGCACUGGAUACUGGGAGGCUAGAGUACCGGAGAGGAGGGUGGAAUUCCUGGUGUAGCGGUGAAAUGCGUAGAUAUCAGGAGGAACACCGGUGGCGAAGGCGGCCCUCUGGACGGCUACUGACGCUGAGACGCGAAAGCGUGGGGAGCAAACAGGAUUAGAUACCCUGGUAGUCCACGCUGUAAACGAUGGGCACUAGGUGUUCGGGGUAUUGACCCCCUGAGUGCCGCAGCUAACGCAUUAAGUGCCCCGCCUGGGGAAUACGGCCGCAAGGUUAAAACUCAAA